rnacentral:snRNA from 1 species
GUGCUUGCUUCAGCAGCACAUAUACUAAAACAGGAACGAUACAGAGAAGAUUAGCAUGACCCCUGAGCAAGGAUGACACAGAAAUUCUUGAAGCAUUCCAUAUUUUU